CUACGGGAUGCUCCAGUGGGGAAUAUUGGACAAUGGACCAAAAGUCUGAUCCAGCAAUUCUGUGUGCACGAUGAAGGUUUUAGGAUCGUAAAGUGCUUUCAACAGGGAAGAAGUUCUGACGGUACCUGUAGAAGAAGUGACGGCUAAAUACGUGCCAGCAGCCGCGGUAAUACGUAUGUCACAAGCGUUAUCCGGAUUUAUUGGGCAUAAAGGGCAUCUAGGCGGCUUAGCAAGUCUGAUGUGAAAAUGCGGGGCUCAACCCCGUAUUGCGUUGGAAACUACUAAGCUAGAGUAUUGGAGAGGUAGGCGGAACUACAUGUGUAGAGGUGAAAUUCGUAGAUAUAUGUAGGAAUGCCGAUGACGAAGGUAGCUUACUGGACAAUUACUGACGCUGAAGUGCGAAAGCUAGGGGAGCGAACAGGAUUAGAUACCCUAGUAGUC
rnacentral:rRNA from 1 species